rnacentral:lncRNA from 1 species
ACCCCUUACAUUAGUAGUAGAUUGAAUACUGCAGUAGUGUAGUAACAAAAUACUCUUCUUGUUUCUCUCUUAUUCUCUCUAUACUUUCUCUCUCUAUAACUUGAAUGAAUUCGUGAAAAAUAAUGAAGCACUAGGCCUCUAUUUAUAGAAGAUUUCUAGCUUAGCACUUGAAAUGUGAAAAGGCAAGUGGCUUGACGACUGGUGAUGUGAAAAGAAAAGUGGUUUGACG